GUAUGGACCCUGAAUACCUUCUCGUUUAGUCUGAAUCAAGGAGGGGAGUGUGUGUGUGUGGCUGAAGUUCAGUGGGCAUGGUGAACCUGCACAUGGAUAGAGUUUAAAACUUAGUCCAGAUGUGGAUAGGUGUUUGUGAGUGUGGGUAACCUAGCAAAUGUAACUGUUGUGGCUAUUGUGAGAUUUUGUGUGUGUGUGUGC
rnacentral:lncRNA from 1 species